rnacentral:lncRNA from 1 species
CUCGUUCUCUGGGGCCUCCCUCAACGGAACAAUAGGGGCUGACAUUUAGAUGGGGCCAUCACAGGAGGAGCUGAAGACAGAGACCCCACUAGGGAAAGAAGAGGUAUUCCUAUCCAUGUUGAAAGGAAAAGGAAAGCAAAAUUACCAUAAGAAACGUAUGAAGCAGAAACGGAAAGGAAAUUGUGGAGCAAAUUUCUCAAAAAAAAGUUACAGAAGAGAGCAAAAGUAAUGCUCAGGAAAGACGAAGGGCUUUUAUAAGAUGGUUUCGAAAGCGAUCUUUAAAUGCAGCACGAUAAAUAUUGGAGUUACCAUCAAAAGGCUAGGUAGGCGAAAUAACGUGAGUAGCAAGAAAUUAAUCUCGAGGGACCAUGUGUCCUAGACCUCGAUAAAAGAUAUCUCAUUCGAAUCUUAAGAAUUGAAAACUAGCAGGGGGACCUCUGAUGUUAUAUAACAU